rnacentral:rRNA from 1 species
UACAGAGGGGGCAAGCGUUAUUCGGAAUUAUUGGGCGUAAAGGGCGCGUAGGCGGCCUUUCAAGUGACGGGUGAAAUCCCCCGGCUUAACCGGGGAACUGCCUGUCAGACUGGAAGGCUUGAGACCGGGAGAGGUGAGUGGAAUUCCCAGUGUAGCGGUGAAAUGCGUAGAUAUCGAGAGGAACACCUGCGGCGAAGGCGGGUUGCUGGGCUGAUACUGACGCUGAGGCGCGAAAGCCAGGGGAGCGAACGGG